AUGCGGUCUGGGUUAGAGCAUUUGAAUGAUGUUAGUCAAUGAGUCUGACCAAACUGCAGGAGGGAGUGGAAGACAGGAGUGCCUGGCGUGCUCUGGUCCAUGGGGUCACGAAGAGUCAGACACGACUAAACAACAACAACAGCUAUUCAAGUAUUCAAGAUAGAAUAAAUGGAACACUAAGCAGAUAUAUAAGCCCAACAUUUUGGAUAUUCAACACACCGGAUAAAAUAAAUAAAUUCCCUGCUCUUCUUAAAAAUGGAUAACAUUUACAGAUCUUUUUAACAUGAUGUUUAAAAGCAGCCAGAGUCUUCAUUACCCAUUAAAAAGUGUUCAGUGUCUUCUUUGAAAAGAGCAACAAUUUAAAUUAGGGUUGCAGAAAUACUGUUACCUUUUU